rnacentral:ribozyme from 1 species
AAACGAAAGGAUGAUAAGGGAGCUAGUUUCUUUUCUGUUUUCUUUUCUUUUCUUUUUUCUUUUUUCUUUUUUCUUUUUUCUUUUUUCUUUUU